rnacentral:rRNA from 1 species
GAUGAACGCUGGCGGCAUGCCUAAGACAUGCAAGUCGUACGAGGUGGCCCAUUGAAAGCGGAGUGCUUGCACAAAGCUGGAUUUGGAUUCCCACCUAGUGGCGGACGGGUGAGUAACACGUGGGUGACCUGCCUUUGAGAUGGGGAUAACAGUUGGAAACGACUGCUAAUACCGAAUAACAUAUGGAUUCGUUUCUAUAUUAAAAGGCGCCUUUAAAGCGCUGCUCAAGAUGGGCCUGCGGCGUAUUAGCUAGUUGGUGAGGUAAUGGCUUACCAAGGCGACGAUGCGUAGCCGAACUGAGAGGUUGAUCGGCCACAUUGGGGACUGAGACACGGCCCAGACUCCUACGGGAGCAGCAGUGGGGAAUAUUGCACAAUGGGGGAAACCCUGAUGCAGCAACGCCGCGUGAAGGAA